GAACAAGACUAGGAGGCAGGAGAGCAUCUGAUUCAGGGGAAUCAACUUGGGGAGAGUUUCCUAGAUUACUUACCACCUCCUUUGUGGGAGAGGACACAUGAGCUGGUUUGUGAAAAGGCCUGCCUUCUAGGCAAUCAAAGUCAGUUAUAAAGGAAGACUGAAGGCACAAGCAGUGGGGAACACCAUUAGGAAUUGUGUCUUGGAAGGCUUGGCUAACAUGAUGUGGUGGAGCAGAACAAAAUGCCCCCACAUCAAAUGAGGCCCCUAAAGCAGGAAAGUGAUCAUCUCCUUGUGAAGAGACAGCUUGAACUGGCUUUAGAAGCCUUUUGUGGAAGUCGCCGGAGCAGCUAGACCUAUGCUCAGACUCAUUCAUCUGUCUGUUGGAAGGAUAUGCAAUUGAUGUGCUUAUAAAAGUAUGACAAGGAAUAAAAAUAUGGAUAUGAUGGUCAUCAGGCAUGAGCGUGCUAUCAGAAUGGAGAUUCCAAAUUCUACAAAAGCAGUGAAGACCCUGUUUACCUGGAUAGAGAGCAGCAAUAUCAACUGGGCGUGCACAGUGCCUGGCAUCUAAUGAGGAAACCGAGAUCUGGAGAAGGGCCCUGGAACCCAGCAAAGCUUUCCACUGCAGAGCAAUGACUCUUUCUUUCCACUCCAUUCUAAGUCUUCACUGAAUAAUAUUUGGGCUUUCAGAUUUCAUGCAGUGAUGCAUAUCAUGCUACAAUUACACACAACAACAACAACCUCGGAGCCCUCCCAUUUAGCCCAAGGUAAUGUGACAGUUGUUAUACUAAGCACUUUUAGUUUUUAAUGAGUAAAAGAGUAAAUAGGAUCAUAAAAGGAAUGCAAAUGGUAGCCCCUUUUAUGGCUGCCCUGAGCUACACAACUUUUGCACCUCCUUUC
rnacentral:lncRNA from 1 species